rnacentral:rRNA from 1 species
AUUGAACGCUGGCGGCAGGCCUAACACAUGCAAGUCGAACGGUAACAGGAAGAAGCUUGCUUCUUUGCUGACGAGUGGCGGACGGGUGAGUAAUGUCUGGGAAACUGCCUGAUGGAGGGGGAUAACUACUGGAAACGGUAGCUAAUACCGCAUAACGUCGCAAGACCAAAGAGGGGGACCUUCGGGCCUCUUGCCAUCGGAUGUGCCCAGAUGGGAUUAGCUAGUAGGUGGGGUAACGGCUCACCUAGGCGACGAUCCCUAGCUGGUCUGAGAGGAUGACCAGCCACACUGGAACUGAGACCCGGUCCAGACUCCUACGGGAGGCAGCAGUGGGGAAUAUUGCACAAUGGGCGCAAGCCUGAUGCAGCCAUGCCGCGUGUAUGAAGAAGGCCUUCGGGUUGUAAAGUACUUUCAGCGGGGAGGAAGGGAGUAAAGUUAAUACCUUUGCUCAUUGACGUUACCCGCAGAAGAAGCACCGGCUAACUCCGUGC